AGCUACUAAGAUAAAAACACAGUUCUGGUUGGUAGUCCAGACGCAAAAAAUCCAUUUUUUGUCAGUAACCUUCCUCCUUGGUUGUCCAUUCUUAGGGAUUUUUAA
rfam:Streptococcus gordonii str. Challis substr. CH1, complete genome.